UGCCUGCACAGGGCUGCCACGGGAGCGUGUCGGGUGGCUGGAGAGAGGUGGCACUCAGUGAUGUCCCCCCUCUAUAGUUCAUCAAAGAACUGGAUACUUCAAGACACGGGGAAAGCACCACUGAACUCACAGCCUCACAGCACGGCUGGCACGAGCAUCCUCACCCAGAGUUUAGGUGGGAAUCAGCAGUCCCUAGACUUUGUCCUGUCUCUCUGAGGAGCUGUGGUUUUCAGCAGAGAAGAGGGAAGGGCUUGUUGUUUCUCAAACCAGAAAAGCCAUCUUUGAGAUCUACAUACCAACCCUACAGGGGUGAUGGACAUUGCAGAGAGAAGGACCAUCAGACUGUCCCAGCCCAACUGCUGCAGCUGCAGGGCUGACCUUCUCGCUUGCAUCCCAGCAUGGAGGGCAGAGAUUUUGUUCAACAGCAUCUUGCCCAAGUGCUGCAAUAUCGUGGUUUGGUUUGCUGACCCCUGGGCUCCACGUCAAGGCCUGGUUAACAACGUGCGCCCUUUCUUCUCUUCCCACCUCUGAAGAGGAUCUAAGGCAGUGAAGCCAAGGGUGUGUUUCUUUAUCUUGGAGCAGAAGGAGGUCUUCACGGUGGUGGUUGUGGCUUCAGCCUCUGGUGAUGGCCAAGUGGUCAGGAUCUACAGACCUCAGAGCACGUCUGCUAAACACAUCUCAGUCCACUGCAAACAGGACCCAGGUCCAGGACAUGCAGAUGAAGAAAGCUGUAAGGAGAUUGAUCCGAAGGCUUUCAUCAUCCCCAAGACAUCACUUCUCAAACACACAGGGUGUUAUUUAGAGACAGCAGUCUCCAAACAGCUCCUCCAUGUGAUCGAUGGCAGUGAAAAGGGAUUAUCAUCACAGAGAAAUUUCCUCCCGUGAAGCCUGCAUUCACAGUUUAUGGAGCAAAACAAUCAGAAGAGCCUUUCUGGAUGCCUGCUUGUCGGGUGCUGUGAAGGUGCCAAACUAAACAAUGUUAUUGUUACCUCCUGAGACGUGUGCCUAAGAGAAGCUCUGGCUUUUAAAAACCCUCUGCAGUGUCACACGGGUGACCACCUGGACAGGACAGCUCUUCCUCCUCUCAUCCCGUGCCCGUUACUUCUCCUCCCGUCAAGGCAUUUGAGGGAAUGCAUCUGCAUUGGGAUGUAUGCUUCUGCUCAGGCUGCACGGCUCAAAUGGGGUGCCUGACAUAAGGCCACCAGGAAGGGUUUGGCUCCCAGCUCGGGUUCCCCUUGGCUUUUCUUCUCAUUUCCACCAUGGCCCUGCUGCAACCACAGUUGUUUGGGGAACGUUUGCAGAGGAAGAGCUGGGGUGAAGGUGGAUUUUUACCAAUCCCAGAGACAUUGUGAGGAAGAGCUCGGUCGUAAUGGUGUUAAGGCAGCACAGGUGUUGCACCAGUAAGGACUGGAAACCUAAGGGAUGGGUCCUGCUCCGAUGCUCACAGCCCGUGGGGGUGCCAGCAAGUGGAUCCAAAUUGCCCUCGGAGGUGUGACGAGUGCCAGAAGGGAGCUGCCAGAAACCAACACGGGCAGAAGCUGGGACCUCUUGGC